ACCUUGAAUAAAUGUUGAUAAAAUGACUUGUUCAGUUCUCUAGAGAGCUGUUCAGCUGUGUGUAGAGGCUUCUAUUUAGCUGCUAGGGAUCAGGAGAUUUGGAGGUUGGUUUGUGUAAGAGUGUGGGGAGGGGGUAUAUUGAGUUGUACUUCAAACCAAACUAUUUGGAGAGAUCUCUACAUUUCAAAACCAAGAGCUAACUUCAAUGGUUGCUACAUUAGCAAGAUGACAUAUAUCAGAGAAGGCGAAAGAGGAUUUCAGGAUUCUGCCACUUACAAAGCCUGGCAUGUUGUCGAAUAUUACAGAUUUAUCAGAUUUUUCCCUGGAGGUAGAGCAAUGAUGGUUUUAUCAGCAGAUGAUCCAGGACUGAUUGUAAAACUAAUGAAUAACAGGAAUAUCUGCUAUGUACAGGGUGCUAUGUUUGGAGAGUACAGGAUAGUUGACGAUGUACUGUUCUGUAUAUUAAACAAGAGUAAACCCAAGAAACCUGCUCAAAAAUUCAGAAGAAAACGAAGAGACUCCAUGGUUUACCACGAUGUUCCUGAUCAGGAGUUUCUACUGGAGUUCUACAUCAAGGGCCCAAGGUUCCAGAAGUUGUUCUGGAGAAACUACAAGAUCCUCAGCAAGUAUUCUAACGGGAGUGAGCAGUUGGAUAUUGUUAACUUGAACGAGAAGGAGUUCCCGAGGUUGGUGUUCAGUCCAGUCCGUAGUUAUCAUUUCGAAUCCUACUCCCCACUCUAGCAGCCCAUUUCUCUCUCAUGAUCAUAUUCACUGAUGGAUAUAGUUGUGAGUAGGCAUAAUGGUAAACGUAUUCUCCGUUCAUUCCUAAUCUUCUGUUAUCAGUUAAAAUGUUGCUUUAUGUAAUAAAAGCAAUCAUGUGGAAAAUAGCAGUAUGUAAACAUAGUCGAUUUUCAUGGAGCCACCAGAAAGUCAAAAGUUUUUGAAAGUGUUUAUUGGAAUUUGUGAUGCUAUCGUUUAAUCAAAUCAUAACUGAAAUUUUUCUUUGUCCUGAUCAUAUGCAAAUUGAUAUUAAUUGAUAUAAUUUGAAAUAAAUUUUUGAAUUAAA
rnacentral:misc_RNA from 1 species